UACGUAGGGCGCAAGCGUUGUCCGGAAUUAUUGGGCGUAAAGAUCUCGUAGGCGGCUUGUCACGUCGGGUGUGAAAGCCCGGGGCUUAACCCCGGGUCUGCAUUCGAUACGGGCUAGCUAGAGUGUGGUAGGGGAGAUCGGAAUUCCUGGUGUAGCGGUGAAAUGCGCAGAUAUCAGGAGGAACACCGAUGGCGAAGGCAGAUCUCUGGGCCUUACCUGACGCUGAGGAGCGAAAGCUGGGGGAGCGAACAGG
rnacentral:rRNA from 1 species